CGUUUUAUUUUUCCUCUCCAAACCAAUUAGUCAAAGCCUCAUUUUUCUUCAUGGUUGCUCCUCUCAAACCUUCCACACUUCUUCUUAUUUUCUAUCUUCAUUCUUAAAGUUUUGGAUUUAUAAUCAAGGCUUGCAGGCUUGAGACAUCAAAUAGAAAGUUGUGAAGAGGUAGUAGUGACGAGAUAACAAGUCUUAAGCAGGGGGAUUUGAGGAUCUUGUCCUCAACAAGAAAAUUCAUUGAGGUGCUUGGAGUAGCAAGAAGGUGUUCUUAACAACUGAGGUAAAGACAAAACUAAACAGUGAGGAUGGCGGGCUCGAGGCGUGGAUUACAUGUUAGGGGAUUGUCACGAUGUUUUGGUUUAAAAAUAUUUCAUUAAAGAUUAUGAUUAAAAUAGUUUUUGUAAAGCUUUAUAUUUUAAGGUUAAGAAUAAAUAAAUGUUUUGUUUUAAAAAUAAUGAGAUUUCAUGCUUAGUUAUUUUUCAUUAAAGAAGUCUUUUAUUGUCUUUAUCUUAAAUGGUUUUAAACGGACUAGCUAGUGUGACGUCUCGGAAAAUCGGAGCGUUACAGUACAUUAAAAUGAUGUUAUUGAAAGUAGAUAAAAAUAUAUGAUGACUGCAAACACUAUAUAAGUUUUGGAAGGAAUGAUGAAUAAAUUUUGCACUACUACAAUGUUAGCCUUUAGAGGCUGUUUUUUCACCCCUA